UACGUAGGUGGCAAGCGUUGUCCGGAUUUACUGGGCGUAAAGAGCGCGCAGGCGGUCGGAUAAGUCGAAUGUGAAGGCCCCCGGCUCAACUGGGGAGGGUCAUUCGAUACUGUUCGACUCGAAGGCAGGAGAGGGAAGUGGAAUUCCCGGUGUAGUGGUGAAAUGCGUAGAUAUCGGGAGGAACACCAGUGGCGAAGGCGACUUCCUGGCCUGUUCUUGACGCUGAGGCGCGAAAGCUAGGGGAGCAAACGGG
rnacentral:rRNA from 1 species